CCGGAAAGGGUUUAGGGGGACGAAGGUUAAGGGUCUCCGAGAAGCGCAGGGACGAGGCUGAGCCCUGCGGGAUCCACGCAAAACCCCGAAGCCGCACACUCACCCGCACACGACCCUCAGCUCUGCUGCUGCCUCCAGACUGCAGCCCAGAUCGCUGGCUACUGCAGCAUCCUCAAAGCCGUCGUUGGAUGCCCCUCCGUCGGUCGGCUGCUCGGCUGCCUGCGGUUCGCUCAGCGACAAAUCCUGGGCCCCUAGCCGGCCACGCCAUAGCUCCCCAAAGGAGCCCACAUGGAACACGCGCGUGUGCAACUCGGGAAGCUCGUAUUCCGGAAAGCUGCUGUGGCUCGCACUGGGGACUGGGUGCUGUGGGCCACCCGCACCGCCGCCCUGCAGGUCCUCCGCCAUGUCAGCCACGAUCCCUUCCGGCAAAAGCUGGCGAGAGGGCGUCGCGGGGCGUGACGGGAUUUGUAGUUUUGCAGAGCUCCGGGGUGGCGGGCGGUUGCGCGAGCUGUGCUUCAGAAACUACAUUUCCCAGCAGGCUGGCUACCGCCUGGGCGCGGCUCGGUCGCUGUGGGCCGGGCUGGAUGCAUUGUUCUCUGGACUUGUCCGAGGGCUGUGCGGCUCGCUGUGUUCCGAGCUGAUCUGGUAUUGGGACCCACAAUUACCUAAAGACUCAAUCAUUGGGUCCCCAUCUCAUAGUUUUCUCAAAUCUGGUUCGUAGGGGCGGGACUUUUGUCCACUGGUUUUGCGAGCUGCUCUGCGGUUCCUCCUAUCCUAGAGAGAAUCCUGAAGGACAAGGGGCACUGAGACUGGUUCGUCCAGAAUCUUCUGAAAGGCACGGUGUGUGUUUGUAUGCGUGCCUUUGUAUACCUACCUGCACGAUAGAGCUUAUCGAACGUCGGCUAUGCAACACACAAAUUCAUUCUUAGCCAUAUGUAUAUAUUUUGAAAAGUCACCACUUUUCCGGGGAGAGAGCCGAAUGUGAUUGUUAAAGGAGUAAACCGGUAAACUAGGAAAUGGAAGUAGCUUGAAACCCAGUGAGCCUAGAUGUUUCUGAAGCUUGGCCAUCGCUCAGCUGUUCCAAAUAUCAUAGCAGGGUGUGCUGAACAAUCCCUGGCUUGUAUGAUUGUCCUGUGACACAUGUUGUAUAAUUCAGCCAUUGGAACUAUUCCUUUAGUGGCUUUUAGUAUAUUCACAAUGGGGCAACCAUUAGUUUAAGAACAUUUUCACCACUCGUGAAAAGGUUGCUUUUAGUUAUGACUCCCAAUCCUUCCAACUUUAGCCAACACUUUUCAGGCUUUACGUCUGUAAAGGUUUGCUAUCUGGGCUUUUUGAAAUAGGAUAUCACUACGUAGAACAGUCUAGCCUUGAAUUCACAGCCGCUUCUGCCUCCUGAGUCCUGGGAUUAAAGGUAUGUCCCACCACACCCAGUUUAUUUUCUACAUGUAAUAUAAAUGUAAUCAUAUAUGACCUUUACAAUAGGUUUCUAUAAUAUUGUACAAUAUUUUUACUUUGCAGCAAAUUUCAGUACUUCAUCCCCCCCCCCUUUUUGGUUGAAUUUAAUUGUAUUGCAUGGAUAUUAUAUAUUUUAUUUAUUGAAACUCAUUGGAUGGACUGGGCUGCAGCUCAACUGAUAAAAUACUUGGCUCACAUGCAUGAAGUCCUGGGAUCAAUAAUCCCAGCACUUGCAAGGGAGAGGCAGGAGGACCAGAAGUUCAAGGUCAUAAUCACCUUCAGAGGGAGUUUGAAGCAAGCCUGGGAUACAGGAAUUCCUGUCUCCUAAACAACAAGCAGGACUGGAGAGAUGUCUCUCAGUGGCUAAAGAGCUUCAGCUUCUCUUCCAGAGGACCUGGGUUCGGUUCCCAGCACCCGUGUGGCAGUUCUCAGUGGUCUAUAACUCCAGUUCCAGGGCCUCUUCUGACCUCUUUGGGUACCAGGCAUGCAAUAGUGCACAGACAAUAUGGGCAAAACACCAUGACCAAAGCAACUUGGCUUCCAUAUCACAGGCCAUCAGCAAAGGAAGUCAGGACAAGACUCCAGCAGAGCAGGAACCCAGGGGCAAGAGCUGAU
rnacentral:lncRNA from 1 species